CCCCUCUCAGGGUUGCACCUGGAGAGUUCCUGGUAGUCUACCAGUUGUGGCUAUGGGAGGGAAAGUGAAGCAGAGGCCUACCCAUUCCAUUCCUAGCUUGGCCAGUGGCUAGCGAGUGGAAGGCAAUCUGUUACAAGC